rnacentral:rRNA from 1 species
CGGGGUGCAGCAGGCGCGAAAACUUUACAAUGCUGGCAACAGCGAUAAGGGGACCUUGAGUGCCAGGAUACAAUCCUGGCUGUCGUGAUGCCUAAAAAGCAUUAUAUAGCAAGGGCCGGGCAAGACCGGUGCCAGCCGCCGCGGUAACACCGGCGGCUCGAGUGGUAACCGCUAUUAUUGGGUCUAAAGGGUCUGUAGCCGGCUUGGUUAGUCUCUUGGGAAAUCCGGCAGCUUAACUGUCGGGCUUUCAGGAGAUACUGCCAGGCUCGAGACCGGGAGAGGUGAGAGGUACUUCAUGGGUAGGGGUGAAAUCUUGUAAUCCUUGAAGGACCACCAGUGGCGAAGGCGUCUCACCAGAACGGAUCUGACGGCAAGGGACGAAAGCUAGGGGCACGAACCGGAUUAGAUACCCGGGUAGUCCUAGCCGUAAACGAUACUCGCUAGGUGUCGGCCACGGUGCGACCGUGGUCGGUGCCGUAGGGAAGCCGUGAAGCGAGCCACCUGGGAAGUACGGCCGCAAGGCUGAAACUUAAAGGAAUUGGCGGGGGAGCACAAGGGCGAAUUCGCGG